rnacentral:tRNA from 1 species
GGGCCUAUAGCUCAGCGGUGAGAGCAGUCGGCUCAUAACCGAUCGGUCCCUGGUUCGAAUCCAGGUGGGCCCACCA